rnacentral:rRNA from 1 species
UACAGAGGUCUCAAGCGUUGUUCGGAUUCAUUGGGCGUAAAGGGUGCGUAGGCGGCGGGGCCAGUCUGAUGUGAAAUCCCAGGGCUCAACCCUGGAACUGCAUUGGAUACUGCCUUGCUAGAGUACUGGAGAGGGAACUGGAAUUUACGGUGUAGCAGUGAAAUGCGUAGAGAUCGUAAGGAAGGCCAGUGGCGAAGGCGAGUUCCUGGACAGUGACUGACGCAGAGGCACGAAGGCCAGGGGAGCAAACGGG